rnacentral:rRNA from 1 species
UAGGGAAUCUUCCGCAAUGGACGAAAGUCUGACGGAGCAACGCCGCGUGAGUGAAGAAGGAUUUCGGUUCGUAAAACUCUGUUGUUAGGGAUGAAAAAAUGUAUAGUAACUAUAUACAAAAGAGACGGUACCUAACCAGAAAGCCACGGCUAACUACGUGCCAGCAGCCGCGGUAAUACGUAGGUGGCAAGCGUUGUCCGGAAUUAUUGUGCGUAAAGCGCGCGCAGGUGGUUUAGAAAGUCUGAUGUGAAAGCCCACGGCUCAACCGUGGAGGGUCAUUGGAAACUAAUAAACUUGAGUGCAGGAGAGAAAAGUGGAAUUCCUAGUGUAGCGAUGAAAUGCGUAGAGAUUAGGAGGAACACCGGUGGCGAAAGCGGCUUUUUGGCCUGCAACUGACACUGAGGCGCAAAAGCGUGGGGAGCAAACAGG